GCAGCCAAAGAAGCGGGGCAGAGCACACAGGGCAGAGCACGCAGGGCCACCCCGGGACCUCAGCGGCCGGAUCGCCCCGAGCUGCGGCAGCCCCGUGGGCCGGCACCUUCCCUCUGAACGGAGGGACGAACAGCAGAGCAGGGCCGCCACAGCUGGAAGAUACCUUCAGAAAAGCUGUCACCCACCCUUCUGUUGCAGCAGGGCUUUCUGUGUUAGAGCUGAUUAGCAAGAUUACAGUACUUCUGCUUCUUGUCAGUGUAAGGUCAUGAAUCAAUGAAGCACGACAACAAGAAAAGAUAACCAUGAAACCCCUGGAGAUGGAAAUGUCAUUGUUUCUAGGCCUUGUUUCUAUUGCUGUUACAAGUCAAACUGCUGCCCAGUGGCAUGUAAGUGAUCCAGGAGCUGGGAGAGAAGCAGCUUACAUCACCAGAGCAACCUCAGUGUCCAAAGUAGAAGAACCCAAGGGAGAAUUUGUAUCACAAGGUGACCUUGAGGAACAGCAAGCAUUGUGGAAAAAAAGCCCAACAAGUUCUCCUGAAAUGCACCCAAGGGAAAGCAUCGCCAGUUGCAGAUCGUGGCUGUCCAACAAUCUCCUGCCCAGAAGCCGUGCUGUGCAAGGAGAUGACAUGAACAGUCCCUGCUACUGAAGCUCACACAGGUCGGCUCCCCAGGUGUUGGUAAAUCAGAGGGGUUGGUGUGCUCGAGGUGCAAGAAGUGGAUGGAAAAAAGGCAACGAGCUUUAACAGUGCUGUUAUGUGUUUCCCUUGCCAGCCAGCAGUAUGCUUUGGGACCAGCGCUGUGCCACACCACCUGUGUGACUUCGGUGAUACACUACAAGAGAAGCUGCUUCAUUUGGACAAGGAAAUGCCAUCACAGCACCCGUGGCGUCUUCACUGCAAGCAG